GACGAACGCUGGCGGCGUGCCUAAUACAUGCAAGUGGGACGCAAGAGAACACACUGUGCUUGCACACCGUGUUUUCUUGAGUCGCGAACGGGUGAGUAACGCGUAGGUAACCUGCCUAUUAGCGGGGGAUAACUAUUGGAAACGAUAGCUAAUACCGCAUAAUAUUAAUUAUUGCCUGAUAAUUGAUUGAAAGAUGCAAGCGCAUCACUAGUAGAUGGACCUGCGUUGUAUUAGCUAGUUGGUAAGGUAAGAGCUUACCAAGGCGACGAUACAUAGCCGACCUGAGAGGGUGAUCGGCCACACUGGGACUGAGACACGGCCCAGACUCCUACGGGAGGCAGCAGUAGGGAAUCUUCGGCAAUGGACGAAAGUCUGACCGAGCAACGCCGCGUGAGUGAAGAAGGUUUUCGGAUCGUAAAGCUCUGUUGUAAGUCAAGAACGUGUGUGAGAGUGGAAAGUUCACACAGUGACGGUAGCUUACCAGAAAGGGACGGCUAACUACGUGCCAGCAGCCGCAGUAC
rnacentral:rRNA from 1 species